rnacentral:rRNA from 1 species
GACGAACGCUGGCGGCGUGCUUAACACAUGCAAGUCAAGGGGGCCCACGCAAUGGGCGAACCGGCGAACGGGUGCGUAACACGUGAGCAACCUACCGAAAUGUGGGGGAUAGCCGGCCUAACGGCCGAGUAAUACCGCAUACGCUCUCGAUGAGGCAUUUCAUUGAGAGGAAACCUACGGGACAUUUCGAGGGACUCGCGGCCUAUCAGCUAGUUGGCGAGGUAACGGCNCACCAAGGCGACGACGGGUAGCUGGUCUGAGAGGAUGGCCAGCCACAUUGGGACUGAGAUACGGCCCAGACUCCUACGGGAGGCAGCAGUGGGGAAUCUUGCGCAAUGGCCUAACGGCUGACGCAGCGACGCCGCGUGUGGGAUGAAGCUC